rnacentral:rRNA from 1 species
UGUUCGAGCGUCAUCUAACCCCUCAAGCACCGCUUGGUGUUGGGCGCUUGUCCCCGCCCCCGCGCGCGGACUCGCCUCGAAGACAUUGGCGGCCUGUGUAUUGGCUACGAGCGCAGCAGACCCGCGCCUCGUCCCCUCUCCGCGCAGGCGCCCACGAAGCGCAACCCCCCCAAUUUUGACCUCGGAUCAGGUAGGGAUACCCGCUGAACUUAAGCAUAUCAAUAAGCGGAGGAAAAGAAACCAACAGGGAUUGCCCCAGUAACGGCGAGUGAAGCGGCAACAGCUCAAAUUUGAAAUCUGGCUCCCUUGGGCGCCCGAGUUGUAAUUUGCAGAGGGUGCUUUGGCGUCGGCAGCGGCCUAAGUUCCUUGGAACAGGGCGUCACAGAGGGUGAGAACCCCGUACGUGGCCGCCCGCCUUCGCCGUGUAAAGCCCCUUCGACGAGUCGAGUUGUUUGGGAAUGCAGCUCUAAAUGGGAGGUAAAUUCCUUCUAAAGCUAAAUACUGGCCAGAGACCGAUAGCGCACAAGUAGAGUGAUCGAAAGAUGAAAAGCACUUUGGAAAGAGAGUCAAAAAGCACGUGAAAUUGUUGAAAGGGAAGCGCUUGCAGCCAGACUUGCCCGCGGUCGAUCUUCUUCCGCGGUCAGGCCAGCAUCAGUCUGGGCGGUCGGAUAAAGGCCUCGGGAAUGUAGCUCUCUCCGGGGAGUGUUAUAGCCCGGGGCGCCAUGCGGCCAGCCAGGACUGAGGUCCGCGCAUCUGCUA